AGAAUGAACGCUGGCGGCGUGCUUAACACAUGCAAGUCGCACGAGAACUCUUCUGCUUGCAGAAGAUAGUAAAGUGGCGCACGGGUGAGUAACGCGUGGGUAAUCUACCUCUGAAUUGGGGAUAACAUUGUGAAAGCGAUGCUAAUACCGAAUAAUAUCCCGAGAACCUAGGUUUUGGGAUCAAAGGUGGCCUCUACAUGUAAGCUACUGUUUAGAGAUGAGCCCGCGUACCAUUAGCUUGUUGGUAGGGUAAUGGCCUACCAAGGCAACGAUGGUUAGCUGGUCUGAGAGGAUGAUCAGCCACACUGGAACUGACACACGGUCCAGACUCCUACGGGAGGCAGCAGUGAGGAAUUUUGCGCAAUGGGGGAAACCCUGACGCAGCAACGCCGCGUGAGUGAUGAAGGCUUUCGAGUCGUAAAGCUCUGUCAAGUGAGAAGAACCUGUCCCGCGAUAAUACCGCGGGAUACUGACGGUAUCACUGAAGGAAGCACCGGCUAACUCCGUGCCAGCAGCCGCGGUAAUACGGGGGGUGCAAGCGUUAUUCGGAAUUAUUGGGCGUAAAGGGCGCGUGGGCGGUCUUUUAAGUCAGAUGUGAAAGCCCGGGGCUCAACCCCGGAAGAGCAUUUGAAACUAAUGGACUUGAGUAUGGGAGAGGGAAGUGGAAUUCCUGGUGUAGAGGUGAAAUUCGUAGAUAUCAGGAGGAACACCGGUGGCGAAGGCGACUUCCUGGACCAAUACUGACGCUGANGCGCGAAGGCGUGGGGAGCAAACAGGAUUAGAUACCCUGGUAGUCCACGCAGUAAACGGUGAACACUAGGUGUAGCGGGUAUUGACCCCUGCUGUGCCGCAGUUAACGCAUUAAGUGUUCCGCCUGGGGAGUACGACCGCAAAGUUAAAACUCAAAGGAAUUGACGGGGGCCCGCACAAGCGGUGG
rnacentral:rRNA from 1 species